rnacentral:tRNA from 1 species
GCGUAGCUCAGUGGUAGAGCAGUUGACUGUUAAUCAAUUGGUCGUAGGUUCGACCCCUACCG